rnacentral:sRNA from 1 species
GGGUGGGCUUUGCGAAGAUGGCGGCGCUGGGGGUGCUGGAGUCAGACCUGCCAAGUGCCGUGACACUUCUGAAAAAUCUCCAGGAGCAAGUGAGUAGUGUCGCCUCUGGAAUAAAUUAGUCACGGAUUGGCUUUGACUUUAUGUACUUCACCUCAAAACUUUGGUGAUUGAGAUACAUGAAUGCUUCCAAAAACCUUAAGAGUAAAAUGAUGUAAUGAAAACCUUUUCACGCCAGAAUUCUAAGUUAUUGAUUCUGCACCCAAGGGAAUAC